GACAGAGGCCUCAAGCGUUAGGCGGAAUCACUGGGCUUAAAGCGUGUGUAGGCGGAUCGUUAAGUGCCUUGUGAAAUCCCACGGCUUAACUGUGGAACGGCUGGGCAUACUGGCGGUCUUGAGCCAGCUAGGGGCGACUGGAACAAACGGUGGAGCGGUGAAAUGCGUAGAUAUCGGGAGGAACACCAGUGGCGAAGGCGACUACCUGGCCUGUUCUUGACGCUGAGGCGCGAAAGCUAGGGGAGCAAACGGG
rnacentral:rRNA from 1 species